AGAACGAACGCUGGCGGCAUGCCUAACACAUGCAAGUCGAACGAGACCUUCGGGUCUAGUGGCGCACGGGUGCGUAACGCGUGGGAAUCUGCCCUUGGGUUCGGAAUAACACAGAGAAAUUUGUGCUAAUACCGGAUGAUGUCUUCGGACCAAAGAUUUAUCGCCCAAGGAUGAGCCCGCGUAGGAUUAGGUAGUUGGUGGGGUAAUGGCCUACCAAGCCGACGAUCCUUAGCUGGUCUGAGAGGAUGAUCAGCCACACUGGGACUGAGACACGGCCCAGACUCCUACGGGAGGCAGCAGUGGGGAAUAUUGGACAAUGGGCGAAAGCCUGAUCCAGCAAUGCCGCGUGAGUGAUGAAGGCCUUAGGGUUGUAAAGCUCUUUUACCAGGGAUGAUAAUGACAGUACCUGGAGAAUAAGCUCCGGCUAACUCCGUGCCAGCAGCCGC
rnacentral:rRNA from 1 species